UACGGGGGGAGCAAGCGUUGUUCGGAUUUACUGGGCGUAAAGGGCGCGUAGGCGGCCAGCGCAAGUCAGUUGUGAAAUCUCCGGGCUUAACUCGGAACGGUCAACUGAUACUGCGCGGCUAGAGUGCGGAAGGGGCGAGUGGAAUUCCUGGUGUAGCGGUGAAAUGCGCAGAUAUCAGGAGGAACACCAAUGGCGAAGGCAGCUCGCUGGAACGGUACUGACGCUGAGGCGCGAAAGCGUGGGGAGCAAACAGG
rnacentral:rRNA from 1 species